rnacentral:tRNA from 1 species
GUCCGGCUGGCUCAGUUGGUAGAGCAUGGGACUCUUGACCUCAGGGUUAUGAGUUUAAGUCCCACGUUGGGCA